UCAAUUUUACAUUAAAUAUCAUUGUUCAGAACAAUAAAAACACUGUGUUUGUCAUUUUCAUUCAUUGUUAUGUAUCUUAACAGCAAUUUUUUAGGCAUUUUUCAUAAAUUUAGAAGUCACUGACAAUGUCUUCCAUAGUAAAAUUAUUGUCGAUGGUAGACAAAAGACGUUGAGACUACUGCAGCUGCUGGGACUAUUGCGACUGUUGCUGGAACUGGUACCGACGAUGAAUUGUUGCCUCUAAGCAGCUCCGUGGAAACUCUUGGAACUACAUUACAGCAUGGUUCAACAAUCAACUGGAAAGUUCAGAAAGCUCCAAAGGGAUUGGUAGAUUUGCCUCUGCGGGAAUGCCAAGAUACGAACGAUUCAGCGAUUGCGACAUCGAUCGGGCAAACAAGCCAACACAAUUGAAAAGCUGCGUACAUACACAUGUCUUGUGGUUAACAGGAAAUGAUUCCAAUAAAUAAACAAAAAGAAUAAAUCUUAAUUUAAUUCAAUUUAAUCUGUUUACGGUAUUUUAGAUGUGAAAAUGAUCAAAAUAAACAAAAAGAGUAAAAACUCAA